GCAUGUGGGGCCUUCCCCGAUGCAACCGUCGCCCCAGCUGCACUUCCACACGCAACAGCAACAGCAGCAACAGCAGCAGCAACUGCAGCAGCCGCAC
rnacentral:miRNA from 1 species